GUGGGAGCUGUUGAAAACCCCGGAUCCUUGGAAAGCUGCGGCCUCAGCCUGGGAUCCCCCAGGGACUCCCCGGAACCGCCGCUUCCCCCAUGGAUUUGCCUGGGGACUCCAGCCCUUCUACACAGCCAAGCCUGUGCCGUCAGCCUCUAGCUCGAGCAUUAUGGGAAGCCAGGAGCCCGAAAAGACCGAGGCUGCAGCCUUUGGGGAGCCCUUCAUCCCUGGAAAAGGCCUCUCGGAGGGUCCUGGCCGUGGUGCUAGAAGAUGUCAUGGCUACAAACAGGGUUCCCCUGGCACACAAAGCAGACGUCCCCAGCCUACUGAAUCACAACCAUCAGCAGGAUUCUGUCUGCACUCAGUCACCCACUUUACCAUCCCACCAGGUCAAGUGGUCCUUGGAAGCCAGGCCUCCUGACCCACUGCAUUUGUGCAGAGAACCCUUGAGUCGUAUCCGCCAGUCCUCACCCACCUCGAGGAUGAGAUCAAGGAUGGCCCCCGGCCCAGAGGAGAGCCCUUCACAAAAGACAGACCAGGUCCCCCAGCCCACCCUGGUGGUGGUACUGAAAGACAUUGCCAGUGCCAGACAACCAGUUGAGGUAUAAGAAAGUACAGUGAAGACAUCUGGGUCCAGCUAGGGCAAGCUUGGGGCUGGGGGUGGAUUUCUGUAAAGGCCAAGACAACUGUUUUUGUUUGUUUGUUUGUUUGUUUUGUGGAGACAAGGUCUCAAUAUAUAGACUUGGGUGGCCUAGAACUUGCUAUGUAGACUAGGCUUUUCAAGAACUGGGAUAAAGGCAUGUGCCACUACCCCAAUGACAACAAAAUUUUAUGUGGUAGACACUAUUUAAAUAAAGGAAAUAAG
rnacentral:lncRNA from 1 species